rnacentral:rRNA from 1 species
GGACUACUGGGGUAUCUAAUCCUGUUUGCUCCCCACGCUUUCGUGCCUCAGCGUCAGUAUCGGGCCAGUGAGCCGCCUUCGCCACUGGUGUUCUUGCGAAUAUCUACGAAUUUCACCUCUACACUCGCAGUUCCACUCACCUCUCCCGAACUCAAGAUCUUCAGUAUCAAAGGCAGUUCUGGAGUUGAGCUCCAGGAUUUCACCCCUGACUUAAAGACCCGCCUACGCACCCUUUACGCCCAGUGAUUCCGAGCAACGCUAGCCCCCUUCGUAUUACCGCGGCUGCUGGCAC